UACGUAGGGGGCGAGCGUUGUCCGGAUUCAUUGGGCGUAAAGAGCUCGUAGGCGGUUCGGUUAGUCAGAUGUGAAAACUCCGGGCUCAACUCGGAGAGGCCAUCUGAUACUGCCGUGACUGGAGUUCGGUAGAGGAGUGUGGAAUUCCCGGUGUAGCGGUGAAAUGCGUAGAGAUCGGGUGGAACACCAGUGGCGAAGGCGGCAUCCUGGCCCUGACCUGACGCUGAGGCGCGAGAGCGUGGGGAGCAAACGGG
rnacentral:rRNA from 1 species